rnacentral:lncRNA from 1 species
CAUGCAGUUAUUGGAAAGUCACAGAUGACAGGGCUUGUCACCCUCUUUCUCUCUCUCAGAUUUAGAUGUCCAGUGAAAGCUAAGCUCAGCCUUUGGCCCCUUCCUAGAGAGCGUGGGAUAAACUGCCAGCUGGGUCUCCCUCUGCCCUCUGUAAAUGGAGCCCAGAGGAGCAGCCUGGCUUCAGCUGUUGUCAUCUGCCUUCACACACGCUUUGUGCUGCUCCCCCUGGUUCCAGAUGGCCAGAGGAAGACAGACAGAUAUCACAGUGCAGGCACCAUGGAGCAGCCCCAGCAGCCUGGAGAAGAGACAAUCCAUUUUUCCCUUUCUGGGAUUAUCCUAUUUUAUGUUUCCUGACUAUGCAGGUAGACUG